rnacentral:rRNA from 1 species
CCUACGGGGUGCAGCAGUGAGGAAUAUUGGUCAAUGGGCGGAAGCCUGAACCAGCCAAUUCGCGUGAGGGAAUAAGGCCCUACGGGUCGUAAACCUCUUUUGCCGGGGAGCAAGGUCGGGGACGUGUCCCGUCCCGGAGAGUACCCGGAGUAAAAGCAUCGGCUAACUCCGUGCCAGCAGCCGCGGUAAUACGGAGGAUGCGAGCGUUAUUCGGAUUUAUUGGGUUUAAAGGGUGCGUAGGCGGGCUUUUAAGUCAGCGGUAAAAAUUCGGGGCUCAACCCCGUCCGGCCGUUGAGACUGGGGGACUUGAGUGGGAGAGAGGAAGGCGGAAUGCGUGGUGUAGCGGUGAAAUGCGUAGAUAUCACGCAGAACCCCGAUUGCGAAGGCAGCCUUCCGGCGCCCUACUGACGCUGAGGCACGAAAGUGCGGGGAUCGAACAGGAUUAGAUACCCGGGUAGUC